rnacentral:rRNA from 1 species
AACGAACGCUGGCGGCAUGCCUAACACAUGCAAGUCGAACGAGACCUUCGGGUCUAGUGGCGCACGGGUGCGUAACGCGUGGGAACCUGCCCUUAGGUUCGGAAUAACUCCCCGAAAGGGGUGCUAAUACCGGAUAAUGUCUUCGGACCAAAGAUUUAUCGCCUUUGGAUGGGCCCGCGUUGGCUUAGCUAGUUGGUAGGGUAAAAGCCUACCAAGGCGACGAUCCAUAGCUGGUCUGAGAGGAUGAUCAGCCACACUGGGACUGAGCCACGGCCCAGACUCCUACGGGAGGCAGCAGUGGGGAAUAUUGGACAAUGGGCGAAAGCCUGAUCCAGCAAUGCCGCGUGAGUGAUGAAGGCCUUAGGGUUGUAAAGCUAUUUUACCCGGGAUGAUAAUGACAGUACCGGGAGAAUAAGCUCCGGCUAACUCCGUG